rfam:Marchantia polymorpha subsp. polymorpha scaffold3564, whole genome shotgun sequence.
GCCAGCAUAGCUCAGUGGAGAGACCAUGCUACUCCUAAUAGCAAGGUCAGGAGUUCGACUCACCUUGCUGGCG